ACGAAAUGGUGACUGACUUACUGACUGACUGACUGAUCUAUCAACACACAGCUCCAACUACAGGUCUGAUCGGGCUGAAAUGUGGCAUGUUGAUAGCUAUUAUGACGUAGACAUCCGCUAAGAAAAGAUUUUUGAAAAUUCAAUCCCUAAGGGAGUGAAACAGGGGUUUGAUUUGUGUAGUCCACGCGGUUGAAGUCGCGGGCACAUG